rnacentral:rRNA from 2 species
CGCCGGUGUGAUUAAUAGGUAUAGUCGGGGGCGUCACUAUUCUGCUGUCCAAAGUGAAAUUCUUGAAUUUGCAGAUGACUAACUACUGCAAAAGCAUUCGCUUGGAUGUUUUCAUUAAUCAAGAAACGAAAGUUACGGGAUCGAAGACCAUNAUAUACCGUCGUAGUCUUAACCAUAAACUAUGCCAACAAGGGAUCGGACGGGAUUCUAUGAAGACCCGUUCGGCACCUUACNACAAAUCAAUGUUUUUGGGUUCUGGAGGGAGUAUGGUCUCAAGGCUGAAACUUAAGGAAAUUUACCGANGGNCACCACAAGGUGUGNAGCCUGCGGCUUAAUUUGAGUCGCCAUUGGGAAACUCACCUUGUCCUUACAAAAUAAGGAUUGACAGAUUGAGAGCUCUUUCUUGAUCUUUUGCAUGGUGGGGCACGGCCGUUCUUACUUGG